GUGGGGAAUAUUGGACAAUGGGCGAAAGCCUGAUCCAGCCAUGCCGCGUGUGUGAAGAAGGUCUUCGGAUUGUAAAGCACUUUAAGUUGGGAGGAAGGGCAGUAAGUUAAUACCUUGCUGUUUUGACGUUACCAACAGAAUAAGCACCGGCUAACUUCGUGCCAGCAGCCGCGGUAAUACGAAGGGUGCAAGCGUUAAUCGGAAUUACUGGGCGUAAAGCGCGCGUAGGUGGUUUUGUAAGUUGGAGGUGAAAUCCCCGGGAGCAACCUGGGAACUGCCUCCAAAACUGCAUGACUAGAGUACGGUAGAGGGUAGUGGAAUUUCCUGUGUAGCGGUGAAAUGCGUAGAUAUAGGAAGGAACACCAGUGGCGAAGGCGACUACCUGGACUGAUACUGACACUGAGGUGCGAGAGCGUGAGGAGCAAACAGGAUUAGAUACCCUGGUAGUCC
rnacentral:rRNA from 1 species